UACGUAGGGGGGCAAGCGUUGUCCGGAAUCAUUGGGCGUAAAGAGCGUGUAGGCGGUCCGAUAAGUCCGCUCUGAAAGCCCGGGGCUCAACCCCGGGAGGCGGGCGGAUACUGUCGGGCUAGAGUCCGGAAGAGGAGAGUGGAAUUCCUGGUGUAGCGGUGAAAUGCGCCAGAUAUCAGGGAAGAACACCCGUGGCGAAGGCGGCUCUCUGGGACGGUACUGACGCUGAGACGCGAAAGCGUGGGGGAGCGAACAGG
rnacentral:rRNA from 1 species